AAAUGAUGAGUGCUUUGAUUUGGUUAGUGUUUGUUACAAGUUUUUGGUUUUUUUUUUUUUAACCAAGUGUUAUCCAUGUUUAUAAAAGGAAGGAUUCGGGGGGUCAAUUGUAUCAAUCAAUGAAAAGACUUCUAAACUUCUAAACUUGUAAAGACACUUUCAAUCAUUCUGGAUCUUCACAAUGGCUAAUGUUGUGCUAGUGAACAAUGUUUACAUGUUAUUAUGUUUGUACAGUUACAAUACACAGAACACUUUGAUGGAGUGACAAGAUUGCUCGAUCCUGGGUCCCAACCAACCAUCAGUUUACUCACCACAAUCAUUGGUUUCUGGUACCCUUCCUAGGGUGGCCUAGGAAGUUAGAGAAAGGUUGAAAAAGAAAAAAGAAAAAUUUCAUUCUUAAGUGACUUUCAAUGUAAUUAAAGAUAAGUAAUAUAAUAGAAAGUGCAAAUACCUUGUGGACUGAGAUUUUAAUUUUUUUGCCAGAUAGAUAGGCCAGUAGAUUUUUAGAUGAAAUAAACUAUGCUACAUCACCACCACCACCACCACCACUGUUGCUUUCUAGCCCUUAGUGGUUGAUUCAACACAAAGGUUGAAUAUCUUUUCCAAUGUAGAACCAAAUUUGAACUUAAUUAUUAAGAAAAAAAUGGAAAAGCUUUAUUUUUUAUUUAGACUUAAGUAUUAAAGAAAUCACAGUCAAAAACUUUGCCUAAAACAUUUUCAGACCUGCUCUUUUCUCAGUAAUCCAGACUCAAGCAGAAUCUGACAUCAUUAUAUAUGAGAGCAUUCCACCCAAUUUUUUUGAUACCUUCAUUUUUUAAAUUUCAUUUGGAUAAUUCAUUCCUCCUCUUAAAGAAAACAUUUUAAUUGACUUAGAACUCUCUCUUUUCCCUACAAUGGAUGCAUCUUUGUAAAUGGUAAACUUUGCUACUGAAAGGACAUCACUAAGCUUCUUUUCAUAUCAUUUAGGUCUGAACUUAAUUCUCAGUAAUUUAUCUUGACAUUUUUACUUUGAAUAGAAAUAUACAUGGGAAAAUAUAUACUAGUGAAGUUUGUAGUAUUUACGAUUAUAUUAUCUCUGUUUAGAAUAACUUUUAUUAAAACUUCUAAAAGACACUUUCAAUCAUUCUGGAUCUUCACAAUGGCUAAUUUUGUGCUAGUGAACAAUGUUUACAAGCUAAUAUGUUUGUACAGUUACAUGUUUUUCUUUAUGAGUAGCUCCUGGACAGAGCCAAAAGUUCAUUUUUCAUGAGUGCAGAGUCUCUGGAAGAUUCUAGGAGAGUCACAGUUUUCAGGGAUUGGAUCUGUAUAUUGUUUGGAGCAAGGGGCCAUCUUGUGUUUACAUGCAGUGAUGUGUGUAUUUGUGUCUGUAUGUACAGUGGUAAAACUGGACAACUUAUUAACGUGUGUAUUACUCUACCCCCACCCCAAAUUUAGUUGAAACAAGUAGAAUGGAGCACAGUUUCCUAGUGAUAGCAUAUUAGCUUAUUAAGCCUCUGGUUAAGACAAAAAAAAAAAAAAGGAAGGAAAGGAGACAGAGAGAGAGAAAACGACAAUCUUUAGAUUUACUGAAAAUGUGGGAUCACAUUCUUUGUUUAAAAAAAAAAUCAAGCUUUUAUACUUGGUCAAAAGUUGCUCUGGAAUCCAAACAGGCCUGUCUCAUUUUAAGAGCACUUGAGCAUCACCAUUUUUACUUGGAUGCACAUCUGGGCCAUUCCUUGGUCGUUUGUGCAUCAUGGACAGGUUUAACUGAUAAGCUAAAAGUAGUUCUCAAGAUUCAGAUGGCAAAUAGCCAUCAUCACACUGUUUAGGAAGCUGCAUUCACAGAUGACAUACGUAGCAUCAGGUCUGGCUUGAACCUUGCCAUGUGUAGGAAUCUGCCACAGUGCACGCGGAGGAUCCUCUCUCUGUGAAGCUUGUAUGGGCAGUGAAAUCAAAACUAUCAGGGGUCUUGGGAGAUGCGGCAGGCAGAAAAGGAUAGCAGAGGGGCGCAGGUCCGCUCUCUGUUCUAUGGAAUCCUUCCUGCCAGGAAAGUCUUUAUCCAGGUGAGAUGAAGGUGUAGGGAUUCCAGAACCUGAAAGCAUUUUGGAACUGGCUCUGAGCAUCCGAUCCAGAUGCGCUUGGCCCCUAAGAGGGGAGACCUGCCCUGCCUAAGUGCGUGGGUCUGGCCCCAACCAUACAAACGGGUGGAGGCUGGAUCAAGGUCCCUGCCUUCACCAAGUGGCCUCCAACAACCCUCGUUCUCCCGUUGUCCCGCGAGGGCUUGGAGGCCCUGGCUCUGGGUGGUCGGGCCGUCUCAGGCGGUUCCGAAGUCCCGCUGUCCUCCUCCCCUCCAAAGAGGACCUGAACCCCGCUAUCCGUGCUACUCGUGGUGUCCUAGUGAAACGAGGGCGCAAACGCGCCCGACGUGCCUUGGCGACCUGGGCGGCACCGCGCCCUGCUUCGCGCGUCCCGUCCCCGCCGUGCCCUCCGGGCCGUGCCCUGCCUGGAGCCAGCUGGGCCUCGUGGCUGAGCUGCCCUCUGUAUUUGUAUUUGGAUUCCUACGUUUGUACUUCUACUACAAAUAAAUGCACAUGUUGUCA
rnacentral:lncRNA from 1 species